AUUGCGGGAAGCAUAACUCCCAGUAGUGGGCUGCUUCCAGGAAGUGCGAGAGGGACGUUGCUGCAGGAGCCAACUACUGAAGCCGUGGGUCGUCGUGCGAUAGUGUUUAAGUGGGAUUUAUCUGCGGAAUUGGACAUGUUGGAUGGCGAGCUAGAGUCUGAAGCUUUAUGCCUGGAACCGAACCAACCCAACUGAAUCCAGCCAACCGAGCCGGGCGGGUGCACGAGAAACGACGCAAGCUCUCCGCUCAUGUGUACGGCCUACUGAAAUGAGGAGGAGGAGGAGGAGGAGGCUGUGACCGAGGGUGUGUGGUUGUGGAGAGAGAGGUGUAAAGGAGUUCACAUUAAAGAAGCGGUGGCUACCGGAC